GCCGGUGUACUGAGCGAUCACUUUGACGUCGUAGGUGGUUCCGGGCUGCAGGUUGUGCAGCGUGUAGGAUGCCACGUCGCCCACGAAGAAAUCCACGUAGCGGUCCGUGCCUGCGGUAACGCAACACAACGGAAGACAAGAGUGUGUUCUGACUGUACCACUCACCUUGAGGAGAGUACAUCAGUUUGUAUCCCUGGACCGGAGCCGACACCGGGUCCCAGGACACCCGGAAGCGGGUGUACCACUCGUCCGAGACGCGGAGGUUCCUGGGGCUCAGCAGGCCGACUGUGACGGAGAGGAGGGACAAGGUGUCACAGACAACUUCACCAAUCUGACGUGUGAACGUCAGGAUUACAACAUCUGGAACUGGAACAACUGGAACAGCAGGUUGGAGAGCGGACCAGCGUUUCGUCCGUGGCCUCCCUCACCUGUGCGUCCGUUCCCGUUGAGCGAGCCUCCCGGCCCCUCGGCGUACACGGCCUCCACGGUGAUGUUGUACGGCGUGUCGGCCAGCAGAUUCUGCAGCAUGGCGUUGUUUCUGU